UAAUACGUAGGCAGCAAGCGUUGUUCGGAAUUACUGGGCGUAAAGGGUGCGUAGGCGGCGCUCUAAGUUUGGUGUGAAAUCUCCCGGCUUAACUGGGAGGGUGCACUGAAAACUGGAGCGCUCGAGUAUGGGAGAGGAAAGCGGAAUUCCUGGUGUAGCGGUGAAAUGCGUAGAGAUCAGGAGGAACACCUGCGGUGUAGACGGCUUUCUGGACCAUAACUGACGCUGAGGCACGAAAGCGUGGGUAGCAAACAGGAUUAGAUACCCUGGUAGUCCACGCCCUAAACGAUGCAUACUUGGUGUGGGUUCUUCACUGGAUCCGUGCCGGAGCUAACGCGUUAAGUAUGCCGCCUGGGGAGUACGGUCGCAAGGCUGAAACUUAAAUGAAUUGACGG
rnacentral:rRNA from 1 species